GCCUGGGUGGCUGAGUCGUGAAGCAUCUGACUUUGGCUCAGGUCAUGAUCUCACUGUUCCGUGAGCUCGUGUCCCACUUCAGGUG
rnacentral:tRNA from 1 species